AGGAUAAACGCUGGCGGCGUGCCUAACACAUGCAAGUCGAACGCUCUUUUUCCUCGCAAGAGGGGGGAGGGAGUGGCGGACGGGUGAGGAACACAUGGGUGACCUACCUUUCAGUGAGGAAUACCGGCGAGAAAUCGCCGACAAGACCGCAUGAGCUUCUCUCGGUAAGCGAGGGAAGGAAAGCUCUUUUCGUGAGAACGGAGGGGGCGCUGGAAGAUGGGCCUGUGGCCGAUUAGCUAGUUGGUGAGGUAAUGGCUCACCAAGGCGACGAUCGGUAGCUGGUCUGAGAGGACGAUCAGCCACACUGGGAUUGAGAACGGCCCAGACUCCUACGGGGGGCAGCAGUGAGGAAUUUUCCGCAAUGGGCGCAAGCCUGACGGAGCAACGCCGUGUGCAGGAAGAAGGUUUUCGGAUCGUAAACUGCUUUUCGUCGGGGACGAGAACGGACGGUACCCGAGGAAUCAGCCCGGCUAACUACGUGCCAGCAGCCGC
rnacentral:rRNA from 1 species